rnacentral:rRNA from 1 species
UGUACUGUGAAACUGCGAAUGGCUCAUUAAAUCAGUUAUCGUUUAUUUGAUAGUACCUUACUACAUGGAUACCUGUGGUAAUUCUAGAGCUAAUACAUGCUAAAAACCCCGACUUCAGGAAGGGGUGUAUUUAUUAGAUAAAAAACCAACGCCCUUCGGGGCUCCUUGGUGAAUCAUAAUAACUUAACGAAUCGCAUGGCCUUGCGCCGGCGAUGGUUCAUUCAAAUUUCUGCCCUAUCAACUUUCGAUGGUAGGAUAGUGGCCUACCAUGGUGGCAACGGGUAACGGGGAAUUAGGGUUCGAUUCCGGAGAGGGAGCCUGAGAAACGGCUACCACAUCCAAGGAAGGCAGCAGGCGCGCAAAUUACCCAAUCCCGAUACGGGGAGGUAGUGACAAUAAAUACUGAUACGGGGCUCUUUUGGGUCUCGUAAUUGGAAUGAGAACAAUUUAAAUCCCUUAACGAGGAACAAUUGGAGGGCAAGUCUGGUGCCAGCAGCCGCGGUAAUUCCAGCUCCAAUAGCGUAUAUUAAAGUUGUUGCAGUUAAAAAGCUCGUAGUUGAACCUUGGGUCUGGCUGGCCGGUCCGCCUCACCGCGAGUACUGGUCCGGCUGGACCUUUCCUUCUGGGGAACCUCAUGGCCUUCACUGGCUGUGGGGGGAACCAGGACUUUUACUGUGAAAAAAUUAGAGUGUUCAAAGCAGGCCUUUGCUCGAAUACAUUAGCAUGGAAUAAUAGAAUAGGACGUGUGGUUCUAUUUUGUUGGUUUCUAGGACCGCCGUAAUGAUUAAUAGGGAUAGUCGGGGGCGUCAGUAUUCAGCUGUCAGAGGUGAAAUUCUUGGAUUUGCUGAAGACUAACUACUGCGAAAGCAUUCGCCAAGGAUGUUUUCAUUAAUCAGGGAACGAAAGUUAGGGGAUCGAAGACGAUCAGAUACCGUCGUAGUCUUAACCAUAAACUAUGCCGACUAGGGAUCGGACGGGAUUCUAUAAUGACCCGUUCGGCACCUUACGAGAAAUCAAAGU